AAAUGGAGGCACACAGACUCCUGAGCAAAUGAGGAUUCAGUGUGAAGUCCUUUGGAACAGGAGGUUUUUUGAAGCUUCCUGGGCCUACACCUAAUAAGCUGAACGCUUAUGAGUUCUAAACCGUGUAUGACAAAAUAUACCAUGACCCGCUGAAGAAGGAUAGAGCCUUCUACACACAGAAUGGCAUUUUACACAUGCUGGACAGAGAGAAUCAAGUCCUGCCCUGAACAAGGCAGCAAAGAUGUCUUCUAUGUGAUCUUUAAGUGUCAUGGGUAUGUCUAUGACCAGGUGGUAGAAUACCUGAAUGCCCAGGAACAAGAGCUUUGUCAGCUAAACAUCUCCAACAACUACCAAAAAAGCCACCCUUGGGGCCUUUCCCAUCUGUGAGCUCUGCUUUAUUAUCUAGUAUAUUAAAAAUGUGGAUGACAAGAUCUCAGAGCUGCUGCAGAUGCUCGAGGUAACGACUGGCAAGACCUUCUUGCGUUCUGUCUGCUUC
rnacentral:lncRNA from 1 species